GGAAGUAAAAGUCGUAACAAGAUUUCCGUAGGUGAACCUGCGGAAGGAUCAUUAUUGUAUAACCGAGGUGCGAGGGCUGUCGCUGACCCGAAAGGUCGUGCACGCCCGAGUGCCCUCACACACAUCCAUCUCACCCCUAUGUGCACCACCGCGUGGGUCCCCCUUUGGCUUGUUCGGAGGGGGGCUUACGUUUUCACACAAACUUUGUAUGCAGUGUAGAAUGUAUUUUUUGUUUUUGCGAUCACGCAAUCAAUACAACUUUCAACAACGGUUCUCUUGGCUCUC
rnacentral:misc_RNA from 1 species